rnacentral:lncRNA from 1 species
AGGGAGUUCUGCCCCUGCCAAGGGGUGCUGGCCACGCAGGAGGCUUAACCUGGCCGGCGCGGGAAUGGGGUGCAGAGAGCAAAGAAAUGUGGCUUUGAUCUUAUGGAUGCCUUACUUUUACAUUAUUUGUACAGUUCUUGCAGUGAGCUUUCCGGACCACUGUCUUGUAUGUUUCCUAAGAAAAGCAAAAAGGGAAGAGAUUGAAGAGAAAGUAGAUUUUCAACUACAAACUUUCAUCCAUUUGCUUUCAGCUUAAGCAAAUGUGCGCAAAGUUGUCAUGGAUUUUUGCAGUCAAUAAAAACCAAGCAAGAAGACUGAAUCCCAAGUCAUCUGGUAUAAAUGGAAGCAGUUUCUGUGAUAGUUCCACGCGGUCAGAAGGGUCAUCCUGGCUUAGGAGAGGGGCAGAAGAGGAAAUGCACGCGUGGAAACAGGAGUGGGCAGGGAGGAUGUGACACUGUCCUCCUCACCAGGCCACGUUCCUGGCACCAACCAUAGUGUUUGGGCAGAUAAGAAAAGAAACAAUUUGCUGAAACUCCCUCUGCUUAUAACAAAACUGACUGAAAUCAGCCGGAAUCAAUAUGGCCAAAUGCAGUUUGCGCACAGCAAGCUUGCUGAUGUCACAGCCUGAAUUUCUACUGCAUGUUUCAUACCAACUCCCUCCAAAUUUGCACAUGGGACCCACCAGGAAGCAUGAAGAGAGAGCCAUGCAUGCCUGAAGACUUCCCAGAUGUUCCCUUUGCUUCCACCAAUCACCUGCUAACCCCAGGAUCCAACCCUAAACCUUUUGUAAUAAAAUUACUGCCCUAAAGCCAGUACAAGACAGAUUUGAACUGGACUUUUGUUUCCUCAGAAGUUAACUUGCAAUGUGAAGCUUUCCUUUUCUCAAAAACUUGGUGUCAUAGUGUUGGCUUCUAGUGCAGUGAGCCCCUUUUGCUGGAUAACCUUACCUGGUAAUUUGACAUACUAGGUGGUUAGUAACUACUGACUGUCUCCAGGUUACAACACAGUUAUUACCCACUUGGGUGAAAAGAGAAGACAGGAAAUACAUUUUGGAGUUGGCUGGCAACCUGUUUACAAAGCAAUUUACAACAGUUCCUUAUUCUUAAGGGGCUAUUCUAAUACAAGACCUCAGAGAAACAGUGCAGUGUGACAAAGGAGGAAUUUAUCAAAGGAGACAGAAAAAGCAUCAAGGCAAGCUGUGAAAUGGUGCGGUAGGAACCAAAUAGAGAGCCAAAGGAUCUUUCUGUCACUGCAGGCCCUUAGGGCUGAACUCUGAGAACACCACAACUUCACAGAGACUGCUGGUUUUCUGCAAUUAGCAGCAAGAGUCCUGACUCAGGGAAGUUGCUCUCCAGUCCAGACUAGCAAAAGACAGAGAGAAUGGGCUCUGCAGAAGACAGAUCCAGACAAGCCAUGCAUGAUUCAUGCCACCUGCAGCCACACGGGUGUCAAUACCAAGAACCUGCCAUAUGUCAUCAAGAGUGUGUUAAGUGAAACCUUCUCAAGAGUUAUUCUUUUGUGCUCUGUCCAAAUCUGGAGAACCCUUCCAAAUACUAUAAAGAUUGAUAUCUUGGCCGGGCCCGGUGGCUCACACCUGUAAUCCCAGCACUUUGGGAGGCUGAGGCAGGCAGAUCACAAGGUCAGGAGUUCCAGACCAGCCUGGCCAACCUGGUGAAACCCCAUCUCUACUAAAACUACAAAAAUUAGCCAGGCGUGGUGGUGUGCGCCUGGAAUUCCAGCUACUCAGGAGGCUGAGGCAGGAGAAUCACUUGAACCCGGAAGGCUGAGGUUGCAGUGAGCCAAGAUCACACCACUGAACUCCAGCCUGGACAACGAGAGUGAAACUCCGUUUCAAAAAAAAAAAAAAAAAAGACUGAUAUCUUGACCAUAUAGUGACUCCUCCCAACUGAUCAUUUUUGUUCACAUUCUGUUGUACAGAAUAUGAACAUUUGGAAGGCAGCAGUCUUCCAAUAUGAUUGCCAAUAAUAUUUAAAUGAUCAUCAAUACUCAUUUAAAUUAAUAAUAAUAUUUAAAGUUAUUUUGGGGUAUACUGCAUAAUGUAAUCCUCAUGUCAGAAGACUUAAAGGAGCUCAAAAGGAAAAGUCACUGCAUUUGUUUUUGGUAAUAAACAUGCCCCACUUCUUACUUUCUGAAU